ACUCAACGCUAACAAAUUAAAAUGAGUGAAUCAUUGCUUCUAAAGCACGCUGCCUUGCGCAGAUCCUUGAACAGCAAGAUAGCUCAAAACUUGUCAUAUUACGAGUUU
rnacentral:sRNA from 1 species